AUUGAACGCUGGCGGCAUGCCUUACACAUGCAAGUCGAACUGCAGCACGGGAUCAAUCCUGGUGGCGAGUGGCGAACGGGUGAGUAAAGUAUCGGAACGUGCCCAGUCGUGGGGGAUAACGUAGUGAAAGUUACGCUAAUACCGCAUACGAUCUAUGGAUGAAAGCGGGGGAUCGCAAGACCUCGCGCGAUUGGAGCGGCCGAUAUCAGAUUAGGUAGUUGGUGGGGUAAAGGCUCACCAAGCCGACGAUCUGUAGCUGGUCUGAGAGGACGACCAGCCACACUGGGACUGAGCCACGGCCCAGACUCCUACGGGAGGCAGCAGUGGGGAAUUUUGGACAAUGGGCGAAAGCCUGAUCCAGCCAUGCCGCGUGCAGGAUGAAGGCCUUCGGGUUGUAAACUGCUUUUGUACGGAACGAAAAGGUUUGGCCUAAUAAGCUGAGCUCAUGACGGUACCGUAAGAAUAAGCACCGGCUAACUACGUGCCAGCAGCCGCGGUAA
rnacentral:rRNA from 1 species